rnacentral:tRNA from 1 species
GCCGAAGUAGCUCAGUCGGUAGAGCAACUGAUUCGUAAUCAGUAGGUCGGAGGUUCAAUUCCUCUCUUCGGCACCA